UACGUAGGGUGCAAGCGUUGUCCGGAAUUAUUGGGCGUAAAGAGCUCGUAGGCGGUUUGUCGCGUCUGCUGUAAAAACGCGAGGCUCAACCUCGCGCCUGCAGUGGGUACGGGCAGACUAGAGUGCGGUAGGGGGAGAUUGGAAUUCCUGGUGUAGCGGUGGAAUGCGCAGAUAUCAGGAGGAACACCGAUGCGAAGGCAGAUCUCUGGGCCGUAACUGACGCUGAGGAGCGAAAAGCGUGGGGGAGCGAACAGG
rnacentral:rRNA from 1 species